UACGUAGGGCGCGAGCGUUGUCCGGAUUUAUUGGGCGUAAAGAGCUCGUAGGCGGCUCGUUGCGUCAACCGUGAAAACCCGGGGCUUAACUUCGGGCUUGCGGUUGAUACGGGCGGGCUGGAGUUCGGUAGGGGAGACUGGAAUUCCUGGUGUAGCGGUGAAAUGCGCAGAUAUCGGGAGGAACACCAAUGGCGAAGGCAGCUCGCUGGGACGUUACUGACGCUGAGACGCGAAAGCGUGGGGAGCAAACAGG
rnacentral:rRNA from 1 species